CAGUCGCCGCGGGAAUACGAAGGGGGCUAGCGUUGCUCGGAAUUACUGGGCGUAAAGGGAGCGUAGGCGGACAUUUAAGUCAGGGGUGAAAUCCCAGAGCUCAACUCUGGAAUUGCCUUUGAUACUGGGUGUCUUGAGUGUGAUAGAGGUAUGUGGAACUCCGAGUGUAGAGGUGAAAUUCGUAGAUAUUCGGAAGAACACCAGUGGCGAAGGCGACAUACUGGAUCAUUACUGACGCUGAGGCUCGAAAGCGUGGGGAGCAAACAGGAUUAGAUACCCGCGUAGUCCCUGUCUCUUAUAC
rnacentral:rRNA from 1 species